GUCGUGAGGAAGGUAGUGUAGUUAAUAGCUGCAUUAUUUGACGUUAGCGACAGAAGAAGCACCGGCUAACUCCGUGCCAGCAGCCGCGGUAAUACGGAGGGUGCGAGCGUUAAUCGGAAUUACUGGGCGUAAAGCGCAUGCAGGUGGUUUGUUAAGUCAGAUGUGAAAGCCCGGGGCUCAGCCUCGGAAUAGCAUUUGAAACUGGCAGACUAGAGUACUGUAGAGGGGGGUAGAAUUUCAGGUGUAGCGGUGAAAUGCGUAGAGA
rnacentral:rRNA from 1 species